AUUGAACGCUGGCGGCAGGCCUAACACAUGCAAGUCGAGGGGUGCUGCGGACGGGCGAGUAAUGCCUAGGAACCUGCCUGGUAUGCGGGGAUAACGUCCGGAACCGGGCGCUAAUACCGCAUACUAUCAGACGAGCCUAGGUCGGAUUAGCUUGUGGGUGGGGUAAAGGCCUACCAAGGCGACGAUCCGUAACUGGUCUGAGAGGAUGAUCAGUCACACUGGAACGGAGACACGGUCCAGACUCCUACGGGAGGCAGCAGUGGGGAAUAUUGGACAAUGGGCGAAAGCCUGAUCCAGCCAUGCCGCGUGUGUGAAGAAGGUCUUCGGGUUGUAAAGCACUUUAAGUUGGGAGGCGUUACCAACAGAAUAAGCACCGGCUAACUUCGUGCCAGCAGCCGCGGUAAUAC
rnacentral:rRNA from 1 species